rnacentral:rRNA from 1 species
GAUGAACGCUGGCGGCGUGCUUAACACAUGCAAGUCGAACGAUGAAGCCCAGCUUGCUGGGUGGAUUAGUGGCGAACGGGUGAGUAACACGUGAGCAACCUGCCCCUGACUCUGGGAUAAGCGCUGGAAACGGCGUCUAAUACUGGAUAUGUCCCGUCACCGCAUGGUGUGCGGGUGGAAAGAUUUUUCGGUUGGGGAUGGGCUCGCGGCCUAUCAGCUUGUUGGUGAGGUAAUGGCUCACCAAGGCGUCGACGGGUAGCCGGCCUGAGAGGGUGACCGGCCACAAUGGGACUGAGACACGGCCCAGACUCCUACGGGAGGCAGCAGUGGGGAAUAUUGCACAAUGGGCGGAAGCCUGAUGCAGCAACGCCGCGUGAGGGAUGACGGCCUUCGGGUUGUAAACCUCUUUUAGCAGGGAAGAAGCGAAAGUGACGGUACCUGCAGAAAAAGCACCGGCUAACUACGUG